rnacentral:rRNA from 1 species
AGGUAAGCUACUAAGAGCGAAUGGUGGAUGCCUUGACUGGUAAAGGCGAUGAAGGACGUACUAGACUGCGAUAAGCUACGGGGAGCUGUCAAGAAGCUUUGAUCCGUAGAUUUCCGAAUGGGGCAACCCAAUGUAUAGAGAUAUACAUUACCUAUAUAGGAGCGAACGAGGGGAAUUGAAACAUCUUAGUACCCUCAGGAAAAGAAAUCAAUAGAGAUUGCGUCAGUAGCGGCGAGCGAAAGCGCAAGAGGGCAAACCCAGUGCUUGCACUGGGGGUUGUAGGACUGCAAUGUGCAAGAGGUAAGUUUAGCAGAACAUUCUGGAAAGUAUAACCAUAGAGGGUGAUAGUCCCGUAUGCGAAAAACAAACCUUAGCUAGCAGUAUCCUGAGUAGGGCGGGACACGAGGAAUCCUGUCUGAAUCCGGGUCGACCACGAUCCAACCCUAAAUACUAAUACCAGAUCGAUAGUGCACAAGUACCGUGAGGGAAAGGUGAAAAGAACUGAGGUGAUCAGAGUGAAAUAGAACCUGAAACCAUUUGCUUACAAUCAUUCAGAGCCCUAUGUAGCAAUACAGGGUGAUGGACUGCCUUUUGCAUAAUGAGCCUGCGAGUUGUGGUGUCUGGCAAGGUUAAGCAAACGCGAAGCCGUAGCGAAAGCGAGUCUGAAUAGGGCGCUUAGUCAGAUGCUGCAGACCCGAAACGAAGUGAUCUAUCCAUGAGCAAGUUGAAGCUAGUGUAAGAACUAGUGGAGGACUGAACCCAUAGGCGUUGAAAAGCCCCGGGAUGACUUGUGGAUAGGGGUGAAAGGCCAAUCAAACUUCGUGAUAGCUGGUUCUCUCCGAAAUAUAUUUAGGUAUAGCGUUGUGUCGUAAUAUAAGGGGGUAGAGCACUGAAUGGGCUAGGGCAUACACCAAUGUACCAAACCCUAUCAAACUCCGAAUACCUUAUAUGUAAUCACAGCAGUCAGGCGGCGAGUGAUAAAAUCCGUCGUCAAGAGGGAAACAACCCAGACUACCAGCUAAGGUCCCUAAAUCUUACUUAAGUGGAAAACGAUGUGAAGUUACUUAAACAACCAGGAGGUUGGCUUAGAAGCAGCCAUCCUUUAAAGAAAGCGUAAUAGCUCACUGGUCUAGUGAUUUUGCGCGGAAAAUAUAACGGGGCUAAAGUAAGUACCGAAGCUGUAGACUUGCACACAACUUAGAUUAUUUAAGUUUAGAAUAUGAGAAACUAAGUUAUAUGUUUAGUUAUAUUUUUACUGAUUUUUAUAGAGUAAAGAUAGAAAUAAAACUUAGUAAAAUCAGUAAAAAUAUUCUUAGACUAAAGUUAAGUAGUUUAAGUUGUGUGCAAGUGGUAGGAGAGCGUUCUAUUUGCGUCGAAGGUAUACCGGUAAGGAGUGCUGGAGCG